AUGAACGCUAGCGGCAGGCCUAAUACAUGCAAGUCGAGGGCAGCAGGGGGUAGCAAUACUCGCUGGCGACCGGCGCACGGGUGCGUAACGCGUAUGUAAUCUGCCCACUACUGGGGGAUAGCCCGGAGAAAAUUCGGAUUAAUACCCCAUAACACAGUGGAAACACAUGUUUCUAUUGUUAAAGCUCAGGCGGUAGUGGAUGAACAUGCGUCCGAAUUAGCUAGUUGGUGUAGGUAACGGCUCACCAAGGCAACGAUCGGUAGGGGGUCUGAGAGGAUGAUCCCCCACACUGGUACUGAGAUACGGACCAGACUCCUACGGGAGGCAAGCAGUAGGGAAUAUUGGUCAAUGGACGCAAGUCUGAACUAGCCAUGCCGCGUGCAGGAAGAAGGCUUUCUGAGUCGUAAACUGCUUUUGAAUGGGAACAAAUACCCCUUGCGAGGGAUGCUGAGUGUACCAUUAGAAUAAGCACCGGCUAACUCCGUGCCAGCAGCCGCGGGUAAUACGGAGGGUGCAAGCGUUUGUCCGGAUUUAUUGGGUUUUAAAGGGUGCGUAGGCGGCUCUUCAAGUCAGUGGUGAAAGCCGACAGCUUAACUGUCGAAAUGCCAUUGAUACUGGGGAGUUUGAGUACAGUAGAGGUAGGCGGAAUUAAUGGUGUAGCGGUGAAAUGCAUAGAUACCAUUAAGAACACCGAUUGCGAAGGCAGCUUACUAUAGUUGUAACUGACGGCUGAGGCACGAAAGUGUGGGGAUCAAACAGGAUUAGAUACCCUGGUAGUCCACACUGUAAACGAUGAUCACUCGCUGUUGGCGAUAGACAGCCAGCGGCCUUAGCGAAAGCGAUAAGUGAUCCACCUGGGGAGUACGCUCGCAAGAGUGAAACUCAAAGGAAUUGACGGGGGUCCGCACAAGCGGUGGGAGCAUGUGGUUUAAUUCGAUGAUACGCGAGGAACCUUACCUGGGCUAGAAUGUGAAGGAAUGUAUCAGAAAUGGUGCAGUCAGCAAUGACCUGAAAACAAGGUGCCGCAUGGCUGUCGUCAGCUCGUGCCGUGAGGUGUUGGGUUAAGUCCCGCAACGAGCGCAACCCCUAUCUUUAGUUGCCAGCACAUCAUGGUGGGGACUCUAGAGAGACUGCCUGCGUAAGCAGAGAGGAAGGAGGGGACGACGUCAAGUCAUCAUGGCCCUUACGCCCCAGGGCUACACACGUGCUACAAUGGCCCAUACAGAGUGUUGCAAGCUAGUGAUAGCGAGCCAAUCACAAAAAGUGGGUCUCAGUUCGGAUUGUAGGCUGCAACUCGCCUACAUGAAGCUGGAAUCGCUAGUAAUCGCGUAUCAGCAAUGACGCGGCUGAAUACGUUCCCGGACCUUGUACGCACCGCCCGUCAAGCCAUGAAAGUCAGGGAGACCUGAAGACAGUGACCGUCACAGGAGCUGGUUAAAGGGUAAAACUGGUAAUUAGGGCU
rnacentral:rRNA from 1 species